rnacentral:rRNA from 1 species
UGGGGAAUAUUGCACAAUGGGCGCAAGCCUGAUGCAGCCGUCNGCGUGUAUGAAGAAGGCCUUCGGGUUGUAAAGUACUUUCAGCGGGGAGGAAGGCGAUAAGGUUAAUAACCUUGUCGAUUGACGUUACCCGCAGAAGAAGCACCGGCUAACUCCGUGCCAGCAGCCGCGGUAAUACGGAGGGUGCAAGCGUUAAUCGGAAUUACUGGGCGUAAAGCGCAAGCGGCGGUCUGUCAAGUCGGAUGUGAAAUCCCCGGGCUCAACCUGGGAACUGCAUUCGAAACUGGCAGGCUAGAGUCUUGUAGAGGGGGGUAGAAUUCCAGGUGUAGCGGUGAAAUGCGUAGAGAUCUGGAGGAAUACCGGUGGCGAAGGCGGCCCCCUGGACAAAGACUGACGCUCAGGUGCGAAAGCNGGGGGAGCAAACAGAAUUAGAUACCCUGGUAGUCCACGCCGUAAACGAUGUCGACUUGNNGNUUGUGCCCUUGAGGCGUGNUUCCGGAGCUAACGCGUUAAGGUCGACCGCCUUGGGGAGUACGGCCGCA